CAUAACAAAAUAUGUCUGAACCCGCCUACAUUGUGACGUAAUUAGCGUCAGGGCGGAACAAUAUGUGUUAGGUAUAUCUCCAUCUCUGCAUCCUUGAAAGUUUGAAUGAAUUUAACAAAAAGAGAUUAUUAUUGCCCAAUAUAAUCUGUUACAUCAAGCAACAAGGAAAUAUUUCAACAAAGUUAAUAAAAUUGUUAGAGAACAGGAUCAAAAUUAAAAUUAUAUCUAUCAGCCGAGAUGAAAGAUGGAAAAUCUUAACGUAUUACUUUUACUUUUGCUGACGCCAAUCAUCAGAGGAUGUGUGGACAAUUGCCCCAAGAGCUGCCUUUCUAAUUACAGACUUACUGAAACGGGCUGUAUACCUUGUGAGUCUGGUACAUAUGGAGUUAACUGUUCAGAGUCGUGCCCUGAUGGCCGGUAUGGAGAUAGAUGUUUGUAUGAGUGUAAUUGCACAGAGGGAGAAGUCUGCGAUAUGAGGUAUGGAUGCGUG